rnacentral:rRNA from 1 species
CGGCGGACGGCUGAGUAACGCGUAGGAACGUACCCCAAAGUGAGGGAUAACUGCUCGAAAGAGUAGCUAAUACCGCAUGUGCUCUAAGGAGUAAAGCUUCGGUGCUUUGGGAACGGCCUGCGUAAGAUUAGCUUGUUGGUGAGGUAAUGGCUCACCAAGGCGACGAUCUUUAGCUGGUCUGAGAGGAUGACCAGCCAGACUGGGACUGAGACACGGCCCAG